rnacentral:rRNA from 1 species
GACGGAGGGUGCAAGCGUUGUUCGGAAUUACUGGGCGUAAAGGGCGCGUAGGCGGCCAUUCAAGUGACGGGUGAAAGCCCUCGGCUUAACCGAGGAACUGCCUGUCAGACUGGAUGGCUUGAGACCGGGAGAGGUGAGUGGAAUUCCCAGUGUAGCGGUGAAAUGCGUAGAUAUUGGGAGGAACACCAGUGGCGAAGGCGGCUCACUGGACCGGAACUGACGCUGAGGCGCGAAAGCGUGGGGAGCAAACAGG